rnacentral:lncRNA from 1 species
CCUAACAUUAAUUCAUUAAGCUCUAUCCUAUCAAAGCUUCUAUAGAAAAGAAACAAAUAUUUUUUUAGAAAAGGGAAUAUUAUUAAUAUUCCAGCUUCGGUAUUGGUUGAUACAUGUGACUGUUCAAACUCACAAACAUAGGGUUCCACUCUGGAAUGAAAAUCUCACAUUCGACAAAGGUUUCACAAAUUCAAGCACUCAAUCUAUGAUAAAAAGACCAGCCAUUAUUUGAAAAGAUCUCCAUCGUUAUCGUCUCAAGCAUACGACAAUCCUAUUUUACUUGAGGUCUGUCCUCCUUUUGCAACAGUGUCUAGAACCUUGUCCAAUGUGUUCCUCUGAAUGUGACCUACAAGGGAGUGGAAACUUGUGCAUUAUCAAAAACCACAUCAUUACGGCUUAACCAUAAAGCCCAACAGAGGGCACAUGCUCUAACCCAAAUCCGGCUCUUAAGUCCAGAAUUUAAACCCUUUAGCCAAGUGCCAAACAUAUGUUGGAUGCACGAAGAUGGAGUAAUGUUAAAUGAAAUUUGUACACAUCUCCAAACACAUCUAGCCAUAUGACAAUCAAAGAAAAGGUGUUGAACGGAUUCAUCUAAGUUGCAUCCACAACAUUUAACACUUCCUUUCCAUAAUUUUUUUUGCUAAAUUAUCCUUUGUUAGAACUAUGCCUUUAACUAAGUACCACAUAAAAAAAUUAAUCUUCAAAGGCAGCUUUAAACCCUAGAUGGGAUGGUUUCUCGAAAUGAUACAUUAAAAGAAUCCAUGAAACAUUAAGAUUAUUAUUUAAAGAUAAUAAAUUAUGUUAUCUAGGGUUAUAUUAGUUGCAUUUUGUUCCAUCAAACCAAAUAUGCGGGUGAUUUCGUUGUACUAUGAACAACUCAAAGAAUGAUCGUUGUAAUCUUAUCCGAGUAUCAAGUUAGAACAAACAAUCAUGUACCGUUUUACCCCCAACAACCAAUCUGGUAUGGAUAGAUCAUGCAUCCUAUAGAUCCAUCAUUUAACAGGGCAUUCUUCACAACCGAAUCCAACAUGAUCCGACAACAUUAAAAAGGCAAGACUAGGGCUCACCGAUGGCGGGGAUGGUUGUGAUGAUCUCACCAAGCUUGAGCUUAUAGAGGAUGGUGGUUUUACCAGUGGUGUCGAGGCCGACCAUAAGGAUCUGCAUAUCCUUAUUGGCGAAGAGCGGCUGAAGAGCUUCCCAAACGCGAGCCCCAUUCCUUUUUGUCUGCUUUCUUUACCACCUGUAGAAUCGCCAACUGAUCAUUCAUUCAACGAUCAAAUCUCACCCAAGCCUAACAUAUGAUGAAUCACAAAUCUCCCCGGUGCGUCCAGUCGACAACGACGCGGAUUUGAACCGACCAGAUCUAGCUCGAACCGUGCAGAUCGAGCAGAUUGUGCGCUAGCGAGCAGAGAUCUAUCGCGUGCAGCCGCAGAGAGGAGAUCAGGGACAGAGAUAUUUGUCGGUGCAAGGGAGGUGUCGGCGUUUCGAACCCGGGGUCCCUGUACCGACGAGUAAAUUAUCACCGCAUGCCCCAGCCCAGAUGGGUCGGCGCGAGACGGAGCACGAAGGGGGGAGGCAGCCGGAGGGAGACGGGCGUGAGAGGUGGAAUCCCGCGGCCUUCGUGUUUGUCCCGCGCCCAGGUCGGGUGCGCUUGCAGUAGGGGGUUACAAGCGUCCACGCGGGAGGGAGCGAGCGGGCUCACGCGAGCGCCGUCCCGUCCUUUCCCG